UCCUACGGGGGGCAGCAGUGGGGAAUAUUGCACAAUGGGGGAAACCCUGAUGCAGCGACGCCGCGUGAGUGAAGAAGUAUUUCGGUACGUAAAGCUCUAUCAGCAGGGAAGAAAAAAAGUCCUUUGGACUUUGGACGGUACCUGACCAAGAAGCCCCGGCUAACUACGUGCCAGCAGCCGCGGUAAUACGUAGGGGGCAAGCGUUAUCCGGAUUUACUGGGUGUAAAGGGAGCAUAGGCGGCUGUGUAAGCCAGAAGUGAAAGCCCGAGGCUCAACCACGGGACUGCUUUUGGAACUACAUGGCU
rnacentral:rRNA from 1 species